CGCACUUGAACUUGAAUUGUAUCCCAUUGUACGGAGGCAGCCCUAGCCACAGAGAGACCGAGAGCUCGGGGGAAGCAGGACUCACUACUCAAUCGUCACACUCACACAGAGAAAGGGGAGAAAAAAAGAGUGCAGGUCUUGAUUUAUUUAGAAAAGAGGUGGAAGUUCUGUGUGCCCGGUCUACACAGAGCCGUACAAGGGGGCAGAGCACUUGGAGUUGAGGAGACUGAAAAGUACCUGCCAUUGCAUGCUGAUGCUCAAGGCUGCACCAACAGAAGUGCCCAUCACUUGGUGAUACCCAAGUGUCCGAGAAGAAAAAUUGGAUUCAUAAUUUUGUAAAAUUGUAUUAUCAAUUAUUAUAAUUGUGAAUGUUUGCGAUUUGUUAUUUUAUUUUUGUGUUUGUUUCUAAAAGAAGAAAUGAAAUAAGUUCAGAGGCCGGGCAAUUGACUGGACUCACAGUGAUACCCAGCGCAUUCCGAGCUGUCAGCGCGCGCACUGACCAUCGCGUUCUGAUUCUUCUUCUCUCACAAGGUGGAGGGACACUCGCCAGGGUUUGAUCCCAACUGUCACUCACUACACCCGUCAAACAUCCAAGGAUAUUUCCCCACUUCUGACAUCUUUCUUUUUUCUACUCGGACAGAUCACUUCUCUCGCACACUUUUUUGCCAAAUGGUGUGAGUAACUUACAGAGAGAAGCGGUGAAAGAGAACUGAAGGUAUAGCACAGGCUAUCCACGGUCUCGUUACAUACAAACACAGAGGCAGAGUGGACCGAAGAGGCGAAGCGCAAAAGACACUUUCGCCUCUCGGAGUGAGGGGACCACUAGCCAAUAGCUCAAAGCACGAUCAACCACCCACCCCGGCCGGCAGUCCGAGCGCAGGAGCCUCGUACUUUUGGAGGUCCCGGGAAAAGUUGAGUGCCGAGCAAGUGGAGGCAAUAGGAGGGAAGCGAGCCCAUCCUUCAGAGUGCUGGUCCCCGGGCAAUGCAAGUGUAAAUGCCAGGGCAAUGUCCCGUCGCAAGCAGGGGAACCCACAGCACGUGUCACAGAGAGAAUUAAUAGCACCGGCGGAGUCUGAUCAUGUGGACAGCGGACUGUCCAUGUCUGACUCCCUCACCCUCCCUCACCCUCACCCCCUGUUGUCCCACCCGGCCCUGCUGGACCCCAGCCUAUCAAACAGCCUGGCCAUGGGUCUGGUUGACCACGACCUGCUCACCUGUGGCCAGUGUCAGAUGAACUUCCCCCUGGGAGACAUCCUGCUCUUCAUCGAGCACAAGAAGAAGCAGUGCCAGGCCCUACUGCAAGGCCACGGCUGCUACGACAAGAUGGCCGCUGACCGCAGCAGCCCCUCCCCGCCCCACCAGCAGCAGCAGAACCAGGGUCGCCACGGCCACUGCCAGCUGAGGAAAGUGGUGGAACCGGUGGAAAUUGGAAUCCAGGUGACACCAGAGGACGAGAGGCUGAUGGUGUCGCCGACCAAAGGAAUUUGCCCCAAGCAGGAGAGCGUCCUGGCUGGAGGCAGGGACGAGCCUUCGAGCUACAUCUGCACCACGUGUAAGCAUCCCUUUCCCAGUGCCUGGUUCCUCCUGCAGCACGCCCAGAACAGCCAUGGCAUCCGCAUCUACCUGGAGUCCAACCCCUCCAGUUCGUCGCUUACCCCCCGCAUCACCAUCCCCGGACCGCCCAUGGGCCAGGACUCCAUCCCCCAGUCCCCCCUCGCCAACUUUCUGGGAGAGAACAACCCCUUCCACCUGUUGAGGAUGACUGGGCCCCUGCUCCGGGAGCCCCCACCAGGCUUCAUGGAGAACCGUGGAGGCCUCCCCAACACGCCGCCCUUCGUCAGCCCCUCACCCCGCCACCACCUGGACCCACACCGGCUGGAACGCCUUAGUGCCGAGGAAAUGGGGCUCAUCUCCCAGCACCCCAGUGCCUUUGAGAGGGUGAUGCGGCUGACGCCCAUGGCCAUCGAGGCCCAAUCCAUGGACUUUUCCAGGCGGCUCAGGGAGCUGGCGGGGAGCAAUAACGUGGCCACACCUCCUCUUUCGCCCAGCCGGAACAACCCUAUGCACCGCCUGCUCAACCCCAACCCCUUCCAGCCAAGCCCCAAGUCACCCUUUCUCAGCACCCCGCGCCUGCCGCCCAUGCCCCCCAACAGCACCACCCCGCCCCAGACGCAGGCCAAGAGCAAGUCAUGUGAGUUCUGUGGGAAGAGCUUCAAGUUCCAGAGUAACCUGGUGGUCCACCGGCGGAGCCACACCGGGGAGAAGCCCUAUAAGUGUCAGCUGUGUGACCAUGCCUGCUCCCAGGCCAGCAAGCUGAAGAGGCACAUGAAGACACACAUGCACAAAUCUGGCUCCAUGACAGGGAGGUCUGACGAUGGGCUUUCCACCACAAGCUCCCCCGAGCCGGGCACCAGCGAAGUGACUGGAGAAGGCAUGAAGAACAGAGAGGGAGACUUCAGGGGUGAGGGUGAAGAGGAGGAAGAGGAAGAGGAUGAAGAGGAGAUGGAGAACGAGAGCAGGCCAGAGUCAAACUUCAGCAUGGACAACAUGGAGUUCUACCGUAACCGUGAAAACGGCUCCAAGCCGCCGCCAGACGAGAAGAACUCUCUCUCCCUGGGUAAGAUGGUGGAAAAUGUGGGCCUGAACACUAUACAGCAGUACAAUAACUUGAUAGUCGACAAUCGUAAAAAUCGGAUGCCCUUCUCUAAGAAGGGGUCUGACGGGCAGCGGGACACUGGGGAUGAGGACUCUGUGGUGGGAGAGAUGGAGAGGGAGCAUCAUCACCACCAAAUGGAAAGGGAUCACCAAAGGCCCACUGUCAACGGCAGGAACUGUGGCUCCGGCAAUUCUUUCUCAAGCCUUUUCCCCCGCAAGCCCACACCCAUCACCAGCCCCAGCCUGUCCAACUCUUCCAACAAGAGGAUCAAGAUUGAGAAGGAUCUGGACAUGCCCCCGGCACCAAUCAUCCCCUCUGAGAACGUCUACUCUCAGUGGCUGGUGGGUUAUGCCGCCUCACGACACUUCAUCAAAGACCCUUUCCUGGGCUUCACCGACUCCAGACAAUCUCCCUUCGGCACAUCCUCUGAGCACUCAUCUGAGAACGGCAGCCUGCGCUUCUCCACACCUCCUGGGGACCUCCUGGAUGGCGGCCUGUCGGGGCGCAGCGGCACAGCCAGCGGGGGUAGCACCCCUCACCUGGGGGGCAUGGGAUCCGGCCGGCCCGGCUCCAAGGAGAGCCGACGGAGCGACACCUGCGAGUACUGCGGCAAGGUGUUCAAGAACUGCAGCAACCUGACAGUGCACCGACGCAGCCACACGGGAGAGAGGCCCUACAAGUGCGAGCUGUGCAACUACGCCUGCGCCCAGAGCUCCAAGCUCACCCGCCACAUGAAGACCCACGGACAGAUGGGUAAGGAAGUGUACCGCUGUGACAUUUGCCAAAUGCCCUUCAGUGUGUACAGCACUCUCGAGAAACACAUGAAAAAGUGGCACGGGGAACAUUUGAUGACCAACGAGGUCAAAAUUGAAGCGAGAGAAGCUAAGCCAGAUUUUCCUAUUUUGCCUCUUUCGCCACAACCUUGAAAAACAAACAAAUACAAAAAGGGGUAGCUGGGUACUCUUUUUCUUAAAUAUCGCAUUUUGGGUUAAUUUUAUGUUUUUGCCUAAGAAACUGCUAACUGAGAAAAACAAUUAAACAAACAAACAGAUAUUAACAGCACCAAUUAAAGCCGGUCUAAACUGCCUCAUUUGGCUAAAGAUCCUUUUUAACAGUUGAUCAGAGGAUUAAUUAAAUGAUACCAUUUUUGGAGCCUUUAACUGUGCAAUAAUUUCUGUAUUUAUUGGAUUUUGUAAUAUUUUGGCAUGUACAGGUACUAUUUUAUUUUGUCAUUUUUAAAUUUGUUUUACUUUUUAUUUUGAUUGCUGGGAUUUUAUUUAAUUUUUUAAAAACCCAGAGGAUAUCCUGAGAUUUCUUUUUAGCAGACAGAAAAAAAACUGCUUAUAGAAAAUUGUAUAUUUAAACUACACGUGUAAUUUCCUGAAGAGAAGCCCGAUUUUAAUCUUAAAAAAUGUUUUAAGCAUAACUGAGGAAGCUAUUUUUGAUUUGUUAUACAUGAUAGGAUAUACAUUCGCGGACAACAAUCCUUUGGCAUUGUAGCAUGAACUGACUUUUAACAUGUUCAUCUAAUUGGAUAUGUAGCACUGAAUGUCAUUUAUGACAGUAAAUCUAAAGAGGAUCCGGAGGUUUCACAAACCCCACCUCUUCUCCAGUAAAUACAUCCAUUAAAAAUAAAGAAGAAGACGAAGCAGAAGAACACAAAGGCAGCUGCUUACUGGUACCUAGUACCCACCCCUGACAGACAACGCUAGAGAAACAGAGACAUUGUGUAUUUCUAUAGAAUCCCCUCAUACUGUUCUCACACUGCAUCUAAACUAGCUCCUCCUAAACUCACCCUAACCCAUCCUACUAAACAUAACAGAAAUGCUAUAACAAUGCACAUACUGAUGUUUUCUAUCUUUUAUCACACAGUUGUAGGAUGGCUAAACCGUCGGGCUAAACUGCGGAGCUUUAUAGCCAGAGAGAGCAGGGAGAUCUUAGGGGCUCCCUGUGAUGUGUAGUUGAACGCAUUCUGAAAGAAGUAGCAACUCUGACACACACAGAAUGCACAGCUGAGUGAGCUUUUUAGGAAAGAUUUUUCGGUCUUCAGCAAGCACCAACCUUUGCCCAAAUCAGCACUCCUUGUUAUUUUGAAUAAUGUACCCCUGUCCUACCCCCCUGUUCAAACCCCUCAAGUUGACCUUUGACAUCCACGCAAAAAUGUUUUUUUUUUAGUUAAAAAUCUGUCAUUGAGAAAAAAAGAAGAGAAAAACACAAACAUAUCUUUGCAGUUGACCCGUACUAUGAUUUGUCAAUCAUUUUUUUACACACAAAAAGAAAAAGAAAAUGGAAAAUACGGCUUCUGAGCAAGAAAUGACUUUGACUGGAUUUACUCGGCCUGGGUGAAGGGUUCUAUAGUUUGGGAUCAGCUGAUAUUGAAGUGCUAGCGUUGCUAUAAGCUUGGCUUUCCCAAUACUGGCACUAUAAAAAUGAAAAUUAAUUUAUUGGGACACUUUUUGUACUGCCAUUCAAUUUGACAUGAGUGUGCCUUGAAUACUGAUCUUCCUAUUCACCGUCUUUCAAGACAAAUGCGACACUUUUGUGAAGCAAAGGAUUUGAACAAAAUGAAAACAAUGUAUUCAAUUUAUGUGUCAACUUAGUAUCUAAUUUGCUUAUGAAAUUCCAAUAGAAUAUCAGAGAUAUUACUUCUAAAAAAUAAAACAAAGCUCCAUUUAGGUUAGGAGUAGCCAGCACAUCAAUGAUGUGUCUGUGUCUGUAUAUAUGUAUGCAUAUGUACAUAGAAAUGCAUAAACCUAUAUAGAUAUAUAUCAAAUUCUUCAAAUCAGGACAAGACUGUAUCCCUAGAAACAUGGUCCGAGUGGAUUGUUAUGCCACACAAUAGUCAAGGAAGAGACUGGACUAAAAAUCAGGAACUGCAGAAACAAAAAAAGAAUUUAGUGCACUCUGUCUUAAAAUACGUUUACAGUAUUGAAACAAGUACAAGGGUAAAAUAAUAUUUGUGUGUAUGUGUGUUUUAAGCCAGUAUUUCUUUUCUUCAAGUUUGCUUAUACAGUUUCUCUGAAUGCCAUGGUGGCGAUGUGUAUAUUGUUUUUUUGGUGACGGGAUUUUAGUAUAUAUAUAUAUAUGAAUAUAUAUGAAUAUAUAUGACAUUUUUCUUGUUUACUGUAAAAGUAUACCAGUAUUUGUAAUAUUGGAGAAUGCCUGGGCAUUUUACAAAAAUAUAAAAAAAGUUAUUGUUUCUUUAUUUUUAUUUUGGAGUCCAAUUUAAAUGGUGGGUCUUUUAAAAAUGUUUUUGUCACUGUAACUGUAUAAGUCUUCAGUUUUAGUAACUUCUCCUUUUGCUGCCUUGGUGUAAUAAAAUGAAAAUAAAUGAAAUAAAAAGUGAACUGGUAACCAACUUGGAUGGGGUGGGGGGAAGCUGCAUCAUGUCUGAAUUUCCCCUCGUAGAAACUAUGGAACAUUGUUAUUGCUUUGCAGUAAAAUACUGACAUGUAUCUAUGUUCUGCUUCUGGAAUGGAUGCUCUUCAUGGCUGGUUUGAAAUACAUGUGUAGGCACUUGUUGUCUUUCUACAGAAGCUUGUCUUUUUGAACCUGUAUGUGCAUCCUUCUGAAAAGGGUACUUUAAGUACCCGUAUGUCAUUAUCUUAUUUGGGGGAGGGGGACAACAUUGCAACUUCAAGAUAAAACUCACAGGCUGCCACCAUUUAUUUGAUUUAAUUUGGCAGGAUAAAAUAGUGCAAAAAACCCAUGAUGAAUUUGCAUUGUUGACAUGAACCUUAUUGUACAGAAGGGAAAUAAAAAGUUUGUUUGACCUUUUAGCAACAAAAAUACACAAGGAGAUGUUUUUGUUUACUAUUCUGUUGGUUGUACAUAUCUUUAGUUUUCUUAUUUAGAUUUGAACAUUUCUAUGUGUUCUAACUGGCACUGGCAGUGACCAUCUCUCUUUAGGGUCAUCUAGCUGCCCUUUGACCCUUGACCUUUGGUGACCUGUGUGUCAGUUGUACGGGAACCUGACCUGCCAACCCAUAGACUUCACAGCAUGAGAAGAAUGGAGAACAUAUACAAGCAUGAUGUGGUAGAGACGCAGGCAGACAGGUCUGGCCACCAGUCAGAGAAAGGACAUGGAUAGAGUGUGUAGAAAAAGAUACACACAUUGGAGAAAAAAUGGUAAAGUCUCUUAUGAGGUGCAAGGAGAUUAUAUAUCUGGAUACCUUAGUUAGACAUCGUCUCACAGAACCAUGUAGUGUACACAGAGCAGCCGAGGCUGGCUGGAUACAAUCAAAGCUACUAGCUGCAUUCGCCUCAAACCAGAAGCUACAAUUACAGGCAGUUAGUAGCUACCGUACCUGACCACAAUCAUAUGGACAACUAUCAAUCAGUCAGAACCAGGGUGUUUAUAUGAAAGCUGCUCACUUAGAUGUACAGAACUGUCCUCCAACUGUUUAGCAGCACAGAACACCCAUAUCUGUGUUUUAUCUUCUUUUUACGAUUUUAUGUUUCCCUUAAAACAUUGGUGCUUUGAUAUGUGCUAAGAGCUAUUCCGUGUUGGCUGCACUGUUUGUCCGCCCCUGGGCACCGUAGACAGAACACCAAGCAGAGCAAGGCUAAGCUAGGCGGUUGAUGGUGUUCACUUUGUGUAUAGACAUAUUCAUGGAACACUGCCCAGUCUGUGGGUAUAUUCAUUUUGUUUUCCUUCAAAGGUGCAGGUGUAUUGGGCUAGGCCAGUAGUCCCUCUACAUGAGAGACUGAGUUGACGUUAGUACGCCGGUCCUGAAUUAGGAAAUAAAAAUACAAAGUGCUUUGCUGCUUUCCACUCUUUAGGUUUGACAUUCAAUCAUUUUACUAUUUCAUUUUAGAUUUUUUUUAUGUUUGUAUUUAAAUAAUAACACAGGGUUGGGAUAAAGAAAUCUGUAAUUUUUUAUAUGUAAUAAUGUUAGAAUACAAAGGGAAGUGGUCCGGGUCUGGACAUACAGGGGGAGGGCUGGGGGCUUUGAGUAGGGAUGUUAUGCUGUGUGUGAUGUCACUUUAUUUAAAUACAUGAACUGAUUAUUUAGGCUGCAAUUGGCUGUGUUGUCUGUGAUGUCACUGAGGUGAGGACAGCGUUCCGUCGUUCUCAGGCCUGAUGAGUCCAAUGCCAUUGGUUCGUUACAGUAAACAUGACAUUCAGACAUCA